GCAGCCGCCACGGUAAUACAGAGGGUGCGAGCGUUAAUCGGAUUUACUGGGCGUAAAGCGUGCGUAGGCGGCUAAUUGAGUCGGAUGUGAAAUCCCCGAGCUUAACUUGGGAAUUGCAUUCGAUACUGGUUAGCUAGAGUGUGGGAGAGGAUGGUAGAAUUCCAGGUGUAGCGGUGAAAUGCGUAGAGAUCUGGAGGAAUACCGAUGGCGAAGGCAGCCAUCUGGCCUAACACUGACGCUGAGGUACGAAAGCAUGGGGAGCAAACAGGAUUAGAUACCCGAGUAGUCCCUGUCUCUUAUAA
rnacentral:rRNA from 1 species